UAUGAAAAACCUAAUCUUCAAAUAAGCGACAAGAGUGGUGAGAUAAGCUUGGGCAUUGAUCAACAAUGAUAAUCUUUGCCUGGGGGUCCGUUUGUCUUUUCUGACCUUUCAGAGUGGAGAGAAUUGAGUCCACACAGAGAAUGGAUGAGGUCUGCCCUGAGAUGUCUGUUGAUGGAUCAGACCUUGUGAAAUGAGUUAAUGUUUGUCCUGCGGUCACAGGAGGAUUAUGAGGGGGUCCUGACAGAGUGACCCAUGGACUGUCAGAGUGUAUAGGGGGUCUGCCCUUUGACCCCAACAGAUUGGAACCAGCCAGGUGGAUUAACAGGCUCCCCACCGGCCUGCCCUUUGGCUGAGGGUUGAAAAAUACUUAUAGAAAUACGAUUUUUCUCAGUCGGGUUUUGCUCAUCUACGUCUCUCCUCUUUAAUUCACUCACAACCUGCAAUUUCUGGGGUUACGCCACACACACACAGGAAUGCUGGCUGUGUGUCAGGGCAGGGCUCACAAAUACCAUGGUGUGAGCAUGUGUGCAGAAUGAGUGCUUCACACACGUUAAGAACAGGGGAGAGAGAUCGGAAUGCAUGGAACAGAAACUGAGGUUUCCACACAACACAAGGCAGCUGGUCAGGCUGAAGUUCAUCGGACAUAGCUGAACAAUUGUUCAAGCCCUGCUAUGGAGGCUUGCUUUGCAAAACGGCAAAAUGAAUUUUCCAGAAGCAGGCAGAGUCAUCCGCUUUUAUCUUCGACGUCUGUCGGUUGGAGCAUCUGCAGACACCCCCUCCUCCCCCCCCACCUCGUCCCUCCUCAGUGCUUCUGACUGCAAUCUCUUGUCAACAGGGACAAAUAUCGACUUGUCCUGCAGCCCAAUUUAUGCCAGGAUUGGGAACCUAGCACCCGAAAACUCAUGAUUAUGUCCAACAGAGCUCAUUACUGUCAAAUCAAAGGGCCCCUCAUAGGAGUCACUCAUUGGUAAUGACCCCGUUAUUCAGCCAACAUGUGGGGGUGUUGACCCGCAAACUCUCAGUGAAUAAUGAUCAUAAUUUGGUUGGUGCUUACAUUUGUCCUAUGUCACACAUGUACAAGUGUGUAUUAAUACACAUGUCUGAAUUAGAUUUUUUUGUGCAUAUGUAACCGAUGUGAAAUGGCUAGCUAGUUUGCAGGGUGCGCGCUAAUAGCGUUUCAAUCGGGGACGUCACUCGCUCUGAGACCUUGAAGUAGUUGUUCCCCUUGCCCAGCAAGG
rnacentral:lncRNA from 1 species